GAGAGGACCAAUGACACCUGCCCCGUGUCCCCCCAGGUUCGUGUCUGGCGGUACUUGAAGGGCAAGGAGCUGGUGGCCCAGGAGAGCCUGGUGGAUGGUGGCAACAAGGUGGUGAUCGGCGGCUUCGGGGACCCCCUUAUCUGUGACAACCAGGUGUCUACUGGAGACACUAGGAUCUUCUUUGUGAACCCAGCACCCCCGUACCUGUGGCCAGCCCACAAGAAUGAGCUGAUGCUCAACUCUAGCCUCAUGCGGAUCACCCUGCGGAACCUAGAGGAGGUGGAGUUCUGCGUAGAAG